CAUUUUCCAAACUGUCUGCCUGCUCCUCCAGUCCCUGUGAGGUUAUGAAAAGCAGAAACUCUGUCAUCUGCAUCGUGUUUAUAGCUCCUACAGUACCUACUUUGGAAUCAUCUGCAUUUGCUGCAAACCAUAAACACAGAGACCUGGACUUAAAGUUUGACAUCAGAGACAUCACAAAUCACAGGAUAACCUCAUUCUGAACAGAUGUAUAUGUUUAGAUAUGGGCAGAUGCAUACAACCACAGACAGAUGACAAGGCAUAGAUAGAACACAUACACAAUCACACAAGGAGGCAGUGUCUUAAACAAAGUAAUCACAGGGUUCCAGAGGAGGCAGGUGGGUGAGAAGAAUGAAGAGAGCUCCCAAAAUAAGAUAUGACUACAGAAAAAAAAAAAAAGAGGGAGAGAGAUGACGACAUCAUUGGAUCUAUGAGACUGUCUAUUUUUAGUGGCCUAAAGAAGACUCUCUCCCGUGACCUUGCCAAAUUAUGAUGCAAACAGAGUUAAUGAAAGCUCUCUCAAGCUUCUCUUCGAAGUCAGCUCAUUACCAGAUCAUUUCUGCACACUCAUCGCCCAAAACCCUGUAACCUCAUUAAAGAACUAAUCCUAA